ensembl:lncRNA
UUUCUUAUUACUGUCCCAUUUCUAACUGAGGCAAAUCAUUGUUCAACCUUUUCUCUGGCAUCAUUAUUCCCUUAUGCUAGGAAAGCGUUCCAGUCAGUGCUCUGUCUAGAGAGCAGUUCUGCUGGGUGCGAGCACGCACUUUACACGUGCCUUUUAGUAAACUGUACAUUCUGGGGAAGUAUUUGUCACAUAUGAAGAGUCUAGACUACCCAGAUGAGACCAUUACGUUGUCAUCUGGCCAUAACCCAAAACAAAUAUUAUCCCUCCCGUGACUACAUUAGACUAAUAUCACUAAGUCCUUAAAUACUCCCAAGCGUUCUUGUUUCCUCCUGGCUUGUGUCCUGUUCCAUCAGAAUGAAGCAGGCUUGUGCACUGUGCUGCAGCUCUGAUGAGGAAAUGGGCCAUUUGGUGGCAUUUCAGCCCAUUUGCUACACACAGAUGGGCAGAUGGAGUGCUGGCUGUGCACAUCGGCUUCACCCAAACCAGUCUGUGGUCACUCAUGCCAGGGACCUGCUGCAGGCCUUCUCACCUUUGGGGAGCUUAUGGUGUCCUUUGAAUCUUCGAACAUUCUUCAGGACUGAUAUUUAUGCCUGCUGGAGCCUGAGGAGCUGUUGGGUUGUUUAACAUCCCUACCCUUGGCUGGGUCAUGCUGCACAAUCGCUCAGGUUCCCUCUGUAAAACCUUCAGAUUGUUCUGCCAAACAAAUACAGUCUUUGGGAGGAAGAGAAGAAAGAGGAGGAAGCAAGUUGGGGCUGAGGGAAGCUCCUUACCAGAGCUGGGCACAAAGGGGAGCUCUGCAGAGUGGAGUGGCUGGUGUUGGAUGCAGUGACAGACAAAUGAUGGCUUUUAAAGACAUCUUCUACUCGGUGGUGGCCACUGCAGACUGCAAACUAAAAUGGGCACCUGCCCUUGGAAUGGCUGAGGAAAGGUAAAAACAACCCUCUGGAAAUGGUGCAGUGAGCCUCUUUGGCAUCUCCAAGUAUGUGAGCUAUUUCAGAUGAGAAUGACACAGGACACCAGAGCAAUCUGUUGGGGUUUGUGAUGGAGGCAUUUGGAAAAUGCUCACCUUCAGCUGCCCCAAGGUGCUGACUGAGGUUGGGAGAGCAGAGAGCAGAGCUGUCAGCUUCCUUGUAUACAAAGCUCUGUGUGUACCAGCAGUAUCUUUGCUGACCUCGUGGACUCUGCAGGAUGCAUUCAUUUCCUCUGAGAAAUUGCAAAAACACAUUGUUUGCAGUGGGACUUUCACGCAACGUGAAAUGUCCAACCCAAACAAAUGUGCUCCCAUUUAAAUACCUGGUGGGUCUGCUUCCUUCAGCCAUUCGCAGCACUGCUAAAUGGAAACCUG